ACAAACUUGGUCAUUUAGAGGAAGUAAAAGUCGUAACAAGGUCUCCGUUGGUGAACCAGCGGAGGGAUCAUUACAGAGUGUAAAAACUCCCUAAACCCAUGUGAACAUACCUAUCGUUGCUUCGGCGGGACUGCCCCGGGCGCCUCGUGUGCCCCGGAAUCGGCGCCCGCCGGGGGACCCAAACUCUUGUUUCUACCGAGUAUCUUCUGAGUACCAUUUUUAAAUAAAUAAAAACUUUCAACAACGGAUCUCUUGGUUCUGGCAUCGAUGAAGAACGCAGC
rnacentral:misc_RNA from 1 species